rnacentral:rRNA from 1 species
UACGGAGGGGGCAAGCGUUGUUCGGAAUCAUUGGGCGUAAAGGGCGCGUAGGCGGCCGUCCAAGUCGGGUGUGAAAUCCCUCGGCUCAACCGAGGAACUGCACUCGAUACUGGUCGGCUAGAGUCCGGGAGGGGAUGGUGGAAUUCCCAGUGUAGCGGUGAAAUGCGUAGAUAUUGGGAAGAACACCGGUGGCGAAGGCGGCCAUCUGGACCGGAACUGACGCUGAGGCGCGAAAGCCAGGGGAGCAAAGCGGG